GACAGAGGGUGCAAACGUUGUUCGGAAUUACUGGGCGUAAAGCGUGUGUAGGCGGUUCACUAAGUCGGAUGUGAAAGCCCUGGGCUCAACCCAGGAAGUGCACUCGAAACUGGCGAGCUAGAGUACUGGAGAGGUUGGUGGAAUUCUCGGUGUAGAGGUGAAAUUCGUAGAUAUCGGGAGGAACACCGGUGGCGAAGGCGGCGACCUGGGUCGAUACUGACGCUGAGGUGCGAAAGCGUGGGGAGCGAACAGG
rnacentral:rRNA from 1 species